rnacentral:rRNA from 1 species
UACAGAGGUCUCAAGCGUUGUUCGGAUUCAUUGGGCGUAAAGGGUGCGUAGGCGGCGUGGUAAGUCGGAUGUGAAAUCUCGGAGCUUAACUCCGAAACUGCAUUCGAUACUGCCGUGCUUGAGGACUGGAGAGGAGACUGGAAUUACGGUGUAGCGGUGAAAUGCGUAGAUAUCGUAAGGAAGACCAGUGGCGAAGGCGGAUCUCUGGGCCUUACCUGACGCUGAGGCGCGAAAGCUAGGGGAGCAAACGGG